GCAAAAAUCGCUACUAUAGCUGAAAAAUUAUUAUGGAGGCAAAACACUUAUCCAAAACUUACAUUUUCCGCCACUUAAACAAAAUUUUCAUUUCCUCUUUACAAAAAAAAUAAUUCAUUCAUCCUUAACGCAUUAAAAAAAAACACUCAUGGCUCGUUUGUCGAACAUUCAUCCCUCUUCUCACUAUCUUUCUUCUCCUCCGUUAAUGAAUAAAAUUUCUUUCUCUGAUAUCAGGGUUUCGUUCUUCAACUUCGACAAAACAAAGCCGUUUCCGUAACCUACUUCUCUUCGACUUUGCUUAGACUGAUUAAAACACCAGCGCUACGGUGUUGCAACUGGAGAUUUCCGCCGUCCCUCGCCGCUGCUAGGAUGCCUCGUCACUACCAACACCUCAAUCUUAUUCUCCCUUCUCCGGUGGCGGCUUCAAUUCGAGCUCCAUCAAUGGAAACUUCAAUCCCGAGUUACUAUUAACUCAAUCCCAGCCCCCAUAAUCUCUCCUCCUCUCCCAAUUAUUCUCUGAAAUCCACAGUUGCUUGCUCGAAUUCAGGAUCUAUCCGGCUUCUGGUUUGUGGUUCUAAUCUUAGGGAUUUGAUAUAUUAGUACCUCAUCAAAAUUUUGAAUAUUUAAUUUAUGUUUUUCUCUUGAUAUCCAUCACCGAUGGAAUGUUUGAUGACGUUAAGGAAGGUUUACAUCUGAAACUCUGAAUCUGUCUCUACCUUUUGGUAACACACAAUGAUAAGUAUGAGUAGUGAUUUUUGGUGUCUUGUUUCUUAGAAGGGUAUGUCUGGUUCUGCUUUCAAGAACACAGCUGAGACAGAAACAUAAAGCAUCUAGGGACAUUGUCUAAGCCUUCAGUUAGUAGUGCUUGGGAACACUGCAUUGACCGCUUGAUUCACAAGUUGAUUUCAACAACUGUGAAGUUUCUUUGCUUUCUAUUUGGUGGUUAGAACUCUUAACUUGAGAAAUCUGAGGAAGAUAUAAGAUUAGUAGUCCAUAUUUGUUUUUAUCUCACGUUCUUUAAGAGAUUGAGAAUGCUAAAGAGAACUUUAGAGACUUUUGGUAUUUUUGAUGUUAUGGUAAAGUUAAAGGAGAGUUUUUUUUGUUUCAGAUAUGAUCAAGUAUGGAGCAAAUUCUCUCUAUGUGUGGAUAGAGUGAUGGAAGGGUUGAUCAUCGACAAAGAGAAGAACAACAGCUCAGUUUCUCAGAAAAAAAGGUUAUUGGCUCAGCUGUAGAUAAGUAUCGAAUUCCUCAAAUUGAUAUACUUCUCAAGGACAGUGAUAAGGUGAUGUUUGGUGGCCAUGAGGUUCGGGUAAUUGUCACAAGUGUGUUGAAUGUUUUGUUUGGUGUAGACUGAGAGAUUGUCUUUGCCUGUUUCAAUUGAGAGUUUGGUGUCGUCGCUUGAGAAAGGAAAGCAGAGGAGCGAGAAGCUUUAUUUACUAGUAUUGAGUUGGUUUAACUUGUUAUUUGGUUUUGUUAUGGCUAGAAUAUUGGAUGGUUACAUGUUCUCUUCUAGAAUUAUGUGUUCGUGUAAUGGUUUUCUAUGUUUUGAAUCUUUAAGGGAAAAGUAUAUGGUAUUUUAUGA